rnacentral:tRNA from 1 species
UACUGUAACCAAGAUUCGAACCUGAGUUAUUGUGGCCACAACGAACUGUCCUAACCACUAGACUAUCAUGGC